CAGGGUGUUUCCAAGGCGCCUGCGCUAAACUGACUUCUCGGCGCCAUUUUGUCUGGGCAGCAGUGGCCGCGGCUCUAUCGUAUUUUAUGUUUCUGGCGAGAAGGGAGCCGAGUCUUUUUCAGGUGGAUUUGCUUUAGUGUGGCACCCUUCCACUGUUCCCUUUAGGUCACCACCUUGUGACGGUCGGAGGAGUCGCAGAACAGUCAAAAAGAAAAGAGGACAUCUCAGUGAUGCAAAUCCCAAAGUAUUACUGAGGAAAUUCUAAGACAAGUGCCACAAUACUACAUAACUUCCCAGAGGGUAAUCACCUAUAGUUCUACUACUCAACUUUAUUAUCUGAUCUUAAUGGUGCAUAUCAGUGGGCUUUUGGAAAUUGCUAAAAUUCCCAAGGAAGAAAAGACACCUGUAUUUCUUCUACCACAGAGUAAAACUGAUUUUGUGGGGAAAAUGAACCAAGAUGUUCCAGCUUUAAAAGGCCAUGAUCAUCUUUUUGUUGCAAGUUCUGUUUCUGGAUCUAGUUUGAGACACUAAGAAGGAUAAGACAUCAGUUUGAAAAGGCUCCCUGUCAGAGCAACAUG